rnacentral:rRNA from 1 species
CCUACGGGUGGCAGCAGUGGGGAAUAUUGCACAAUGGGGGAAACCCUGAUGCAGCGACGCCGCGUGGGUGAAGAAGGGUUUCGGUACGUAAAGCUCUGUCGGCAGGGAAGAAAAUGACGGUGCCUGACUAAGAAGCCCCGGCUAACUACGUGCCAGCAGCCGCGGUAAUACGUAGGGGGCAAGCGUUAUCCGGAUUUACUGGGUGUAAAGGGGGCGCAGGCGGUUUUGCAAGUCAGAAGUGAAAGCCCGGGGCCCAACCCCGGGACUGCUUUUGAAACUGUUGAACUAGAGUGCAGGAGAGGUAAGUGGAAUUCCUAGUGUAGCGGUGAAAUGCGUAGAUAUUAGGAGGAACACCAGUGGCGAAGGCGGCUUACUGGACUGUAACUGACGCUGAGGCUCGAAAGCGUGGGGAGCAAACAGGAUUAGAUACCCGGGUAGUC